GACGAACGCUGGCGGCGUGCCUAAUACAUGCAAGUCGAGCGGAUCUGUUCCUUCGGGGACAGGUUAGCGGCGGACGGGUGAGUAACACGUAGGCAACCUGCCUGCAAGAUCGGGAUAACUACCGGAAACGGUAGCUAAGACCGGAUAAUCGAUUGAGGUGCAUGCCUUAAUCGGGAAACACGGAGCAAUCUGUGGCUUGCAGAUGGGCCUGCGGCGCAUUAGCUAGUUGGUGAGGUAACGGCUCACCAAGGCGACGAUGCGUAGCCGACCUGAGAGG
rnacentral:rRNA from 1 species